rnacentral:misc_RNA from 1 species
UGUGGGAGCGAGCUUGCUCGCGAUAGCGGUGUGUCAGAAACAUAGAUGCUGACUGAUACUCCACUAUCGUGAGCAAGCUCGCUCCCACA